UCGCUCUGGCAGCAUGUAUACUAAAAUUGGUACGAUACAGAGAAGAUUAACAUGGCCCCUGCAUAAGGAUGACACGCAAGUUCAUGAAGUGUUCUGUAAAAAA
ensembl:snRNA U6 U6 spliceosomal RNA